rnacentral:lncRNA from 1 species
GUUUGUGUGAAGGUGUUAGAUCUUGGAGUUAAUUUUGAGCUGGGAAUUGAACCCAGGUCCUCUGGAAUUCCUAACCGUUGAGCCAUCUCAUCAGCCUCUCUACCUGUUUUUUUUUUUUUUUUUUUUAAAGUUCUUUUUUUUUUUUUCUAAGAUUUUAUUUAUUAUUAUAUGUAAGUACACUGUAGCUGUCUUCAGACACACCAGUAGAGAUCUUGUUACGGAUGACUGUGAGCCACCAUGUGGUUGCUGGGAUUUGAACUCAGGACCUCUGAAAGAGCAACCAAUGAUUUCAACAGCUAAGCCAAUCUCUCUAGCCCCUGAUUUAAAUUUUUAAAAUUCAGAUAAGCUAUUUAAAAAUGUAAUCCCAACCAUUAUUUUUUUUUAAAUCUAUUCUUGAGGGUAAUUGUGAUUCUUUUAUUUUGAGACAGUACAGCUUUGAAGUUACUUUGUAGCUCAUUAUGACCUCCAACCUUUGAUUUUACUGAGAUUCCAGGCAUGUAGCACUAUGCCUGGCCUGUUAACUAGCAUAAACAUUGGUGUGUUGUGUGUGCUUCUAUGAAUGACAUAAACAUGAUAAAACAAUGAAGUUUGUUUGUUUUUCAGUAGGCUUAUGUAGCCAGCCCAGGUUGGUUUUUGAACUCAUAUAGUCAUAGAUGACUUUACAUUUCUGUUGUGAUUAUAGGCAUGUGCCACCACUACAUGUCUAUGAGGUGCUGGGGAUCAAAUUCAGGAUUUCAUGCUAGCCCUAAGUUUCUGAUUUUUGGUUUUGCGUUUAAAUUUUAAUUUGUGUUUUUGUGUUGGAUCUCCUAUAGUUGUGAGCUGACCCCCUGUGGUGCUAGGACCUGAACAGGCAGCAACUGAUUUGGACUGAUGAGCUAUCUGUCUCUCUCCCACCUGAUUUUGUAUUUUUAAUUGUUUUGCUUUUAGGGCUAGAGAGAUGGUUCAGUGGUUUGGAGCACUGACUGCUCUUCCAGAGGUCCUGAGUUCAGUUCCCAUUAACCGUAUGGUGGCUCACAACCAUCUGUAAUGGGGUCUGAUGCCCUCUUCUAGUGUGUCUGAAGAGAGCAACAGUGUACUCAUAUAUAAAAUAAAUCUUUUUAAAAAAUUGUUUUGCUUUUAACUUAGUGAGUCUAAGAGAAAAGUAAUUAUCCUAAGUAAUGAAAUGCAUACUUUGUAGAAAAAGAUGCUUUGAUAUGGGGUAAGAGACUUUUGGACUCUUUGCCUUCUAAUCAUUAUUAAUGUGAGACAUUGGUUUGGUUACAUGCUGGCCAGACUUACCAUAUAUAAGUCAGUUUAAACUGUUACAGUGAAUUAGUUAUUUAAAAUCUCCAUUUUCUGUUGGCCAUAGUGGUGCCGGCUUUUAUAUCCCAACACUCAGAUAGAUUGAUCUGGCGACCAGCCUAGUCUACAUUGUGACUUACAGGGCAGCCAGAGCAAUGUAGAGAGAAGGGUCCCUGUCUCAAAAAGCAAAACAGCAGCAGCAAAGUCUCCAUUUUCUAUGUUGUACAUGAGUCAUUUGUUACUUGUCUUUUAAAGUUUGAGAACAUUUUUCUAAUGGAAGAUGACAUUUUAAUAAAGUCAUUUUAAAUCUUAUGUUAAAAAGUAUGAUUAGCCCCUAGAACUAAACUGAAUUAAAACAAAAAAACUUUUGGGGGGGUCCUGGUCUUUCUUAACCUAGUUCUAAUUUUCUUAUUAAUAUGAUAAGAUGAUUGUUCAUAACUUGACUUUUUGUUUAUUUUGAAAACAGAACAUGUGCUUUACCCACUGAGCUUUGCUUUUUGUUUUGUUUUGUUUUUUGAAACAGGUUUUCUCUGUGUAGUGCUGGCUGUCCUAGAAAUUCAUUUUUUGUUUUGUUUGUUUGUUUUGAGGGGCGGCACUAUUAAGAAUAUAGAAGCUUUAAAAUACACUGAGGACUGGAGAUAUGGCUCAGUAGCUAAGAGUACUGACUACUUUUUGAAAAGACACAGGUUCAAUUCCCAGAACCCCUGUGGUAGCUCAUAACCAUCUGUAACUCCAGUUUUAGGACAUCUGACAUCCUCUUCUGGUCACAUAGUUCACAGCUUACAUGUAGGGAAAUACUCAAACACAUAAAACAGUACAGAAUGAGAAAUGCUUAUAGAAGGGAUAUCUUUAGAAUUUUCAAAAUUAAUGUUUUAAUUUUUAAUCAGUUCUGUUUUUUUCCUACAGCUCCUAAAAGGAGAAGGCCAGCACGUUCAAUAUUUGAUGGUUUCCGAGAUUUUCAAACUGAAACUAGUAGGUAUUUGUGAGCCAGUCUCUCAGCUCUCUCUUCCCCUUCCUUUUUGUU